rnacentral:rRNA from 1 species
GUUACGGUAUGAGAUGAGUAUGCGUUCUAUUAGCUAGUAGGUGUGGUAACGGCACACCUAGGCUACGAUAGAUAGGGGCCCUGAGAGGGGGAUCCCCCACACUGGUACUGAGACACGGACCAGACUCCUACGGGAGGCAGCAGUAAGGAAUAUUGGUCAAUGGACGAAAGUCUGAACCAGCCAUGCCGCGUGCAGGAUGACUGCCCUAUGGGUUGUAAACUGCUUUUAUAUAGGAAGAAAAACUUUCUCGUGAGAAAGCUUGACGGUACUAUAAGAAUAAGGAUCGGCUAACUCCGUGCCAGCAGCCGCGGUAAUACGGAGGAUCCAAGCGUUAUCCGGAAUCAUUGGGUUUAAAGGGUCCGUAGGUGGACAAAUAAGUCAGAGGUGAAAUCCUGCAGCUCAACUGUAGAACUGCCUUUGAUACUGUUUGUCUUGAGUUAUUAUGAAGUGGUUAGAAUGUGUAGUGUAGCGGUGAAAUGCAUAGAUAUUACACAGAAUACCGAUUGCGAAGGCAGAUCACUAAUAAUCAACUGACACUGAUGGACGAAAGCGUGGGUAGCGAACAGGAUUAGAUACCCUGGUAGUCCACGCCGUAAACGAUGGUCACUAGCUGUUUGGACUUCGGUCUGAGUGGCUAAGCGAAAGUGAUAAGUGACCCACCUGGGGAGUACGUUCGCAAGAAUGAAACUCAAAGGAAUUGACGGGGGCCCGCACAAGCGGUGGAGCAUGUGGUUUAAUUCGAUGAUACGCGAGGAACCUUACCAGGGCUUAAAUGUUAGGUGACAGAUCUAGAAAUAGAUUUUUCUUCGGACACUUAACAAGGUGCUGCAUGGUUGUCGUCAGCUCGUGCCGUGAGGUGUCAGGUUAAGUCCUAUAACGAGCGCA